UACGUAGGGUGCGAGCGUUGUCCGGAAUUAUUGGGCGUAAAGAGCUUGUAGGCGGUUUGUCGCGUCUGCCGUGAAAAUUCGAGGCUCAACCUCGAACUUGCGGUGGGUACGGGCAGACUAGAGUGUGGUAGGGGGAGACUGGAAUUCCUGGUGUAGCGGUGAAAUGCGCAGAUAUCAGGAGGAACAUCAGUGGCGAAGGCGGCCUCUGGGACAACACUGACGCUGAGGCACGAAAGCGUGGGGGAGCAAACAGG
rnacentral:rRNA from 1 species